rnacentral:rRNA from 1 species
UACGGGGGGAGCAAGCGUUGUUCGGAUUUACUGGGCGUAAAGGGCGCGUAGGCGGCCAGCGCAAGUCAGUUGUGAAAUCUCCGGGCUUAACUCGGAAAGGUCAACUGAUACUGCGCGGCUAGAGUGCGGAAGGGGCAACUGGAAUUCUCGGUGUAGCGGUGAAAUGCGUAGAUAUCGAGAGGAACACCUGCGGCGAGGGCGGGUUGCUGGGCCGACACUGACGCUGAUGCGCGAAAGCCAGGGGAGCGAACGGG